rnacentral:pre_miRNA from 1 species
CAUGCUUCUUCUACAUGCCCAUACUAUAUCGUAAAUGGAUAUGGAAUGUAAAGAAGUAUGUA